rnacentral:rRNA from 1 species
UGGGGGAUAUUGCACAAUGGGCGAAAGCCUGAUGCAGCAACGCCGCGUGAGGGAAGACGGUUUUCGGAUUGUAAACCUCUGUCUUCGGUGAAGAAAAAAAUGACGGUAGCCGAGGAGGAAGCCACGGCUAACUACGUGCCAGCAGCCGCGGUAAUACGUAGGUGGCGAGCGUUGUCCGGAAUUACUGGGUGUAAAGGGAGCGCAGGCGGGGAAACAAGUCAGCUGUGAAAACUAUUGGCUUAACCCAUAAACUGCAGUUGAAACUGUGUGUCUUGAGUGUAGUAGAGGUAGGCGGAAUUCCGAGUGUAGCGGUGAAAUGCGUAGAUAUUCGGAGGAACACCAGUGGCGAAGGCGGCCUACUGGGCUCUAACUGACGCUGAGGCUCGAAAGUGUGGGGAGCAAACA